rnacentral:rRNA from 1 species
UACGUAGGUCCCGAGCGUUGUCCGGAUUUAUUGGGUUUAAAGGGUGCGUAGGCGGGCUUUUAAGUCAGCGGUAAAAAUUCGGGGCUCAACCCCGUCCGGCCGUUGAAACUGGGGGCCUUGAGUGGGCGAGAAGAAGGCGGAAUGCGUGGUGUAGCGGUGAAAUGCAUAGAUAUCACGCAGAACCCCGAUUGCGAAGGCAGCCUUCCGGCGCCCUACUGACGCUGAGGCACAAAAGUGCGGGGAUCGAACAGG